GGAUGGAGAUGCACUCGCGCUGGAAGCAGAGCAACGAGUGAGGCCUAGCGACACGGCCGUGGUCUCUGCACGGCACGCAGAUCUAACUCAAUGGCUGUAUGUGCCUCAGAGCGUCUCAGGCUUUCUCAAGCCUUGUUUUCAAGGAGCCUUAUGUGACCCUUUUAACCCUGUGAAACCUGGCUUGCUCCAAAGUACCUGAGCUGACAGCGCCAGAAUUAGCCCAAAGCCUGCGUGUUUGCUACCAUAGGUAAAUCAGUUACUUUAAAACUUGCAAGCCAUAUAAUGUCAAUGACAAACUCCAUGUUAUGGCUAGUCACAGUACUUCUCUGAAGAAUAUAGCAAUUUUGAUCGUGUCCUGACCAAAGGAUAGCUGUAAUGGAGCUGGGAAAGGCAAGUGGAUAGGACCUAAUCACCUGCCCCUCUAGGUCUACCCUCUGCUCUCUGUCCAGCUCUGUGUUCCAGGCUGACUUGUACCCCCUAGCUUCUGGUUGCGUUAGCCCGUGUCAGUCAGCAGCAAGAGAUGGAGGUUAGAGGAAGGUGUGGCCAAGCUGUCUUGGGUUCCUUUUCAAGGGCACAGACUGUGGGCAAUCAGCAGUCGUCAGAAACCCACCCGCUCGGCUCUUUGUAAGCGCUGCCUCUGCUCACUCCUUGCAGCCUAGGAUUAAUGGCUCCCAGAACGGCAUGUGCUGGGACACUGCGCUGUCCUCUGGUGGUUUCCUUAAACCCUUCCCCCUUCUUUAUAAGUACUAUCUUCUAACAGAUUGCACUCACAGUACCUAUUAAAUAUUUUGAAUGUGCCCUCGAUUUCCUGCUGGGAAUGUAACUCUACAUUCCCUAACCGUCUGGAUGAUUUUAGACACAUCAUCCGAACAAAUACAUAGAGGAGAUCAAGUGAGAUCUGAGGAGUGCCACUCACCCUAAAUUCUAACUUACAGUCCUAGGAGCUUGGUCCUGUUUCUAUCACACAAGCACCGUAUGUCAGAGAUGAACGUGAGUCAGCAGUCCCUGCACCUCAUUCCGGAGCGAAGCACUGGGCUCUGGAAAGACCUCCUCCAGUAACAGAGCACUCACUCCUCCAGAAGAGACUCUUAACAGAGCCCUGGAAAUGCCUUUGAAAUCCACCCAGCCACACGGUCUUCAAACGCACAGUGUUCGCUUUGAAUCCAGAACGGCUGUAUUUCACAGCACGCCUGUGUCACUCUUGCCUGCUCAGCCCCAGUGUGUUCAGGGUCAGCUCUGUGACCCAAUGUCUUCAAAUGUGCGGCUGGGGAGCUCCGUGGUCAGUAGAGGCCAUGUCCACCUGACUGACUGACAAUGAAAGGAAUCGCUCGGGGAAAUCAUUCCUCACUGUCCUCAGAAAGGCAAGCGCACCGCCGUCCUCGCCUGGAUCACUGAAGUUUGGUUAAUGAUAUUCCUGUCCCUGGCUCCAUUUCCUCUCCCAAAGCUCCCGCAGACCAAAUCCUGUGCCCCCGGUUCUCGGUAGAUGACCUCCUUCCCGAGCAGGCCCCCUCAACCUCUGGAGCCCGGCGCUGCCCACUGUCCGCUCCCCGCGAGCUGGACCUGGGACUGCCUGCCUCCUCUGAGCCCUGGGGCUUCAAGGCAAGGCGCGCUGGCCGCCGAGGCCCUCGGACGUCGAUCCUCUCGGGAACUACGGCUCUGCCUUCGCAGUUUCUCUUUCUCAGCUUCUGUUCGGGUCGCCGCGUGAUUCACACCAGAGGCCCACACGGGGCUUCUCCAGCGUCCUCGGUCUGAGCCCCCCCUACCAGGAACAUGGCCCCCAGGCCUCCUGGCCCGCCCGUCCUCCCGCUCCGUCCAUCCGUACCAUGAUGAGCUCAACCGCCGCCGCCUCCGCCGCCGGUACACAAACACCAACCGCUCUUGCAGACGCCGCCGCUCAACUGCAGACGCCAAGCCUCGAGCUCCUUGGACGAGCCCCCCCACGUCGUCGAGGACCCAACGCCGCCGCCGCCGCCGAUGCCCAUUGGUCCAGAGCGCUGCGGGGCGGGGCGAAGCCUAGAAUCCCGCUUCUGAUGGACUCACACGGGACUCUCGGUUUGUGGUGCGUUCUGAUUGGACAUGGGUUUGGCGGGAAGGCUGCGCGCGGGAGGCGGAGCGCGCCCGGUCUCCUUAUUCGGUUUCCUCCAACUCGUCCCCGCCCCGCCCCGCCCCGCCCGCACCUUGCAGCAGGCCUGCUCUGGUCUACUCCGCCGCACCCCGCAGGUUCUCCGCCCGGGGCCUCCUUGUUAUUUGGGGAGGGCGCUGGGCCGUCGUGGAAUGACUGGCUUGGUUAUUUGCAGGCCCUACAGGGAAGUAGGGGACCGUCCUGCGGCGCUCGGCCCAGCCCCGCGCUCCGACUGUGAGGUCCUCUCACCGCCCUGUAGGGCGGAGGGUUGCCAAAGGAGUGCUGCCCAGCAUGGGAGCAGGGAGAGCAGGCUCCUGGGGCUCUUCACGGGCCCUCAUCCCGCAGGCCUGGCUCCUGUUAUCCUCCGUCGCCUCCUGGCCCCGAGCACCGCCCCAGGUUAGGACGUCGUCGUGGGUAUGGGGGGACCGUCCUUCCUCAGGCGCCGAGAACGCCGCAGACUCGAAGCCUGUGCUGCCGGCUUGGUCUUAAGAGUACAAAUUUGGGACCUGAAUGAGAACAACGGAAGACCCUAACACUGAUGUCUCAGUCACUGUGAAGGCCAGCUCUGUAGGACUUCUGCCUGGUUGACAUGGGGCCUCAGUUGAAAGGCACCUUGAAGUUGAAGUGGCCCGUGGGAGAGAGAAGAAAGUCACACAACACAUAGUCACUCAGAUGGUGUGAAGAGGGCCAGCAGUUCUUUUUUGUACUCCACUCUGCGGGCAGCCGUCUUUAUGCAAAGCCCUGGAAGAAUGACCUUCACUGAACUGGCGAGGUCAUCAAACUCUCUGUUCACCUGGAUAUCCUGAGGAGAAACCCAUCACCAGGCAGGAUGUUAUCACUUUCUGAGAACUUGGCCAUUUUACACACACGAGGUCUCAAAGAACCUCAUAGGGCAUCAGUUCGUCCCAAGUUUGAACAAUUGAAACUGUAAACACAUCUCUGAACAGGCUUUGACUCAAGCCUGGGUUGAAAUAAAUCAGAGGGAUAAUGAGCA